UCAAGCAUGACGGUUAUGCGCAUUCUUUCAGGUGAAUGUUGCAUGUGGGAGGAUUGGAGCUGCAUAUUUCAGAUUCAAGCAUCUAGAUGAUGGAAUAUACAAAGUUGUUGAAAUUUCAGGAUGAAGUCGAGCACAUUUCUCUAAUGAAGCUAAAGAUUUGUAUUUUUAGCAUUAUUGUAAUUGUAAUUGAUUGAAUGAAUUGGAUUGUAAUUGAUUGUAAUUAUAAUUCAUUGAAUGAAGGAUUGUAAUUGUAAUUGAAUGAAUGAAUAAUUGUAAUUGAAUGAAUGAAUGAUUGUACAGGUGGGAAUUGAAUGAACAAAUGAUUAUAUAUAAUUUUUUAA